CAGUCGCCGCGGUAAUACGUAGGGUGCAAGCGUUAAUCGGAAUUACUGGGCGUAAAGCGUGCGCAGGCGGUUAUAUAAGACAGAUGUGAAAUCCCCGGGCUCAACCUGGGAACUGCAUUUGUGACUGUAUAGCUAGAGUACGGCAGAGGGGGAUGGAAUUCCGCGUGUAGCAGUGAAAUGCGUAGAUAUGCGGAGGAACACCUAUGGCGAAGGCAAUCCCCUGGGCCUGUACUGACGCUCAUGCACGAAAGCGUGGGGAGCAAACAGGAUUAGAGACCCCAGUAGUCCCUGUCUCUUAUAC
rnacentral:rRNA from 1 species